UACGGAGGGUGCAAGCGUUAUCCGGAUUCACUGGGUUUAAAGGGUGCGUAGGCGGAUAUGUAAGUCCGUGGUGAAAUCUCUGGGCUUAACCCGGAAACUGCCAUGGAUACUAUGUGUCUUGAAUGUUGUUGAGGUGAGCGGAAUAUGUCAUGUAGCGGUGAAAUGCUUAGAUAUGCAUAGAACACCAAUUGCGAAGGCAGCUCACUAAAGCAAUAUUGACGCUGAGGCACGAAAGCGUGGGGAUCAAACAGG
rnacentral:rRNA from 1 species